UCCUACGGGAGGCAGCAGUGAGGAAUAUUGGUCAAUGGACGAGAGUCUGAACCAGCCAAGUAGCGUGCAGGAUGACGGCCCUAUGGGUUGUAAACUGCAUUUUAUAAGGGAAUAAAAGUGAGUCUCGUGAGACUUUUUGCAUGUACCUUAUGAAUAAGGACCGGCUAAUUCCGUGC
rnacentral:rRNA from 1 species